GACGUAGGGGGCCAGCGUUGUUCGGAAUUACUGGGCGUAAAGGGCUCGUAGGCGGCCAACUAAGUCGGAUGUGAAAUCCCCAGGCUUAACCUGGGAACUGCAUCCGAUACUGGAUGGCUUGAAUCCGGGAGAGGGAUGCGGAAUUCCAGGUGUAGCGGUGAAAUGCGUAGAUAUCUGGAGGAACACCGGUGGCGAAGGCGGCAUCCUGGACCGGCAUUGACGCUGAGGAGCGAAAGCCAGGGGAGCAAACGGG
rnacentral:rRNA from 1 species